UAUAAGACGAGAAGACCCUAAGGAGCUUUAAACAAACUACACGCGCCAUAUAGUUCAUGUAACUGAGGUUCCUAACCCUCCAAUGGCACGCUGAUUACAUGUUUUCGGUUGGGGUGACCACGAAGAAUAAACUACCCUUUCAUGAUGAAUAGGGAUAUCCUUAAACAACAAGCUACAACUUUACUUUAUCAACAAAUUUGACAUUCAUUGACCCAAUACUUUUGAUCAACGAACCAAGUUACCCUAGGGAUAACAGCGCAAUCCACUUUUAAGAGUUCAUAUCGACAAGUGGGCUUACGACCUCGAUGUUGGAUCAGGGUAUCCUAGUGGUGCAGCCGCUACUAAAGGUUCGUUUGUUCAACGAUUAAAACCCUAC
rnacentral:rRNA from 1 species